GAUGAAGAACGUAGUGAAAUGCGAUAAGUAAUGUGAAUUGCAGAAUUCAGUGAAUCAUCGAAUCUUUGAACGCAUCUUGCGCUCCUUGGUAUUCUGAGGAGCAUGCCUGUUUGAGUGUCAUUAAAUUCUCAACUACACUGACUUUGAAUUGGUGUGGCUUGGAUUUGGGGGGAAAAUUGUUGUGGGCUUUUUGUAUAGUCUGCUCCCCUGAAAUUGAUUAGCGGUACCUUUGUGGAACUGUCUACAGGUGUGAUAAUUAUCUACAUCUUAGACAUCUGCUGGAAUGCUGCUUUCUAAUCCUUACUUGUAUUGACAAUCUUGACCUCAAAUCAGGUAGGACUACCCGCUGAACUUAAGCAUAUCAAUAAGCGGAGGA
rnacentral:misc_RNA from 1 species